AUUGAACGCUGGCGGCAGGCUUAACACAUGCAAGUCGAACGAGUGGCGGACGGGUGAGUACUGUCCGGGAAACUGCCUGAUGGAGGGGGAUAACUACUGGAUACGGUAGCUACUACCGCAUAUCAUCGGAUGUGCCCAGAUGGGAUUAGCUAGUCGGUGGGGUAGAGGCUCACCUAGGCGACGAUCCCUAGCUGGUCUGAGCGGAUGAACAGGCACACUGGAACGGAUACACGGUCCAGACUCCGACGGGAGGCAGCAGUGGGGAAUAUUGCACAAGGGGCGCAAGCCUGGUGCAGCCAUGCCGCGUGUAUUAAGAGGGCCGUGGGGUUGUAAUGUACUUUCGGCGGGGAGGCGUUACCCGCAGAAGAAGCACCGGCUAACUCCGUGCCAGCCGCCGCGGUAAUUC
rnacentral:rRNA from 1 species